rnacentral:rRNA from 1 species
UUGAAGGGCUGCAGUAUAUUGACUGUACAAAGGUAGCAUAAUCAUUAGUCAUUUAAUUGGUGACUUGUAUGAAGGAUUGGAUGAGAUAUAAUCUGUCUCUUAGUUAUAAAUAGAAUUUAAUUUUUUAAUUAAAAAGUUAAAAUGAAUUAAAAAGACGAGAAGACCCUAUAGAGUUUUAUAAAUUAAAGAAAUUAAGAUUAUUUAUAAAGUUAAAAUUAAAAUUUUUUUAUUUAUUAUGUUGGGGUGACAGAAAAAUAUGAAAAACUUUUUAUAAAUAAGAACAUUGGUAAGUGAUUAAAUGAUCCAAUAUUGUUGAUUAUAAGAAAAAAUUACCUUAGGGAUAACAGCGUAAUUUUUUUUUUUAGUUCAUAUAAGAAAAAGAGUUUGCGACCUCGAUGUUGGAUUAAGAUAAAAUUUAAAUGC